GCAAUCUUAAUUCUACCUCCUCGUGCAUAUGCAUUUGGUACAGUCUUUAAUUACUUGACUGCAUACUAUUUUUUCCCCACAGAUCCCUUGCCUGAUUCAGUGCACGGCAUGGACCUGCUCUGGGGAUAAAUCAGGGCUGUACAAUGAAGGAGACUGUUGUCUGUAGGACCCUUGCCUGAUUUGUUGAAGAAGCUGGAAGGAAUGCCAAGAAAAUAGCUAUCUGUAAAGAAGGUUGAUAAUGCUUGGUUGAUGGGAUGAUUAUUACCGGAAGAGCACUUCCUGAGGUGUAAUAAAAACACAGUGACAUAAAAAUAGAAUGCUUUGGAUUCAUAAGUCAUCUGGUAUGGUUAUCUUGAGAUUGCUACAACAAUGGAGAUGAACUGCCAGUGUAAAAAAAGAAAACAUCUUUGAAGCUUUUCUGCCAAAGAGGAACUAGAGAUGUCAUCCUGCUCAGUGUUUCUGAAGCUCAGCAUUUGGCAGAAGAGACCCUAAGUGAGUAAAAAGGGAAAAAAAGUAGAAAAGAACAAAAGAAAACCACCCUUUCUCCCACCAUUAGAGAUACAUCUCCUGCAUCCCCACAUGCGACACACAUUGGGUCUGAAAAUCUGAGUCCCCUGGUGAAAACCUGUCAUUGAUGUAUGAUCCAUUCAUGUGAAUCUGAUUUUCCAAUGUGAAGUUGAAGUUGAAGUCUACAAUUCUCUCUCCG